rnacentral:rRNA from 1 species
UACAGAGGGUGCAAGCGUUGUUCGGAAUUACUGGGCGUAAAGCGUGCGCAGGCGGUUAUGUAAGACAGGUGUGAAAUCCCCGGGCUUAACCUGGGAACUGCAUUUGUGACUGGCGGACUCGAGUAUGGCAGAGGGGGGUAGAAUUCCACGUGUAGCAGUGAAAUGCGUAGAGAUGUGGAGGAAUACCGAUGGCGAAGGCAGCCCCCUGG